rnacentral:rRNA from 1 species
UAGAAUUGACGGGGCCCGGCACAAGCGGUGGAGUAUGUGGUUUAAUUCGAAGCAACGCGAAGAACCUUACCAGGUCUUGACAUACCGGGCAAAGCUCUAGAGAUAGAGAAAUAGUUAUGCCGGAUACAGGUGGUGCAUGGUUGUCGUCAGCUCGUGUCGUGAGAUGUUGGGUUAAGUCCCGCAACGAGCGCAACCCUUGUCUUUAGUUACCAUCAUUCAGUUGGGGACUCUAAAGAGACUGCCGGUGACAAACCGGAGGAAGGUGGGGAUGACGUCAAAUCAUCAUGCCCCUUAUGACCUGGGCUACACACGUACUACAAUGGCGCAUACAACGGGAAGCGAAGUGGUGACAUGGAGCAAAUCUCAAAAAGUGCGUCUCAGUUCAGAUUGAAGUCUGCAACUCGACUUCAUGAAGUCGGAAUCGCUAGUAAUCGCGGAUCAGAAUGCCGCGGUGAAUACGUUCUCGGGCCUU